rnacentral:rRNA from 1 species
UACGUAGGGUGCGAGCGUUGUCCGGAAUUAUUGGGCGUAAAGGGCUCGUAGGCGGUUUGUCGCGUCGGGAGUGAAAACACCGGGCUUAACUCGGUGCUUGCUUUCGAUACGGGCAGACUAGAGGCAUGCAGGGGAGAACGGAAUUCCUGGUGUAGCGGUGAAAUGCGCAGAUAUCAGGAGGAACACCGGUGGCGAAGGCGGUUCUCUGGGCAUGUCCUGACGCUGAGGAACGAAAGCGUGGGGAGCGAACAGG